rnacentral:rRNA from 1 species
CAGCAGCCGCGGGAAUACAGAGGGUGCGAGCGUUAAUCGGAAUUACUGGGCGUAAAGCGUGCGCAGGCGGUUAUAUAAGACAGAUGUGAAAUCCCCGGGCUCAACCUGGGAACUGCAUUUGUGACUGUAUAGCUAGAGUACGGCAGAGGGGGAUGGAAUUCCGCGUGUAGCAGUGAAAUGCGUAGAUAUGCGGAGGAACACCGAUGGCGAAGGCAAUCCCCUGGGCCUGUACUGACGCUCAUGCACGAAAGCGUGGGGAGCAAACAGGAUUAGAUACCCCCGUAGUCCCUGUCUCUUAUAC